rnacentral:rRNA from 1 species
UCUGAAUCUGCGUACGGCUCCGCAAACCAGUUGUAAACUAUAGCAAGCAAGCUCAGGGUUGGCCUUCACGGGCCGGCUCGGGGCGAUAUGGAUAACCCUGGUAAUUCUGAGGCUAAUACAUGAGUGUAAACCCUGGAGGACCGGCUUCGGCUGGGAAUCUGGGGGAUGUGCGAUUGCAGGCUUGGUAACACCGGGAAAGGGCGCACGUUCAGAUCACGCUAAAAAGGUCGGGCUCCUUCGGGGGCCUGCCCCAGUGACUCUUGCUGUGUGCUUCUGACCUAUCAACUAGACUGGCAGCGUAAGGGACAUGCUAUGGU